UUGUAAACAGAGCAAAUGAGUGGUGUUUGAGCGGACAAAACGGAAUGAAUCGGGAAUGAACGAAAAAAAAGAAAUGCUUACAACCGUGAAAUUCGGCAAGAAAUUGAAUUGAAUUGAAUUGAAUUGAAUUGAAUUCAAUUGCAUUAGCAAAACACAUUACGGAAAUAUGAAAUAUUUAAAGAAAAAAAUAAUGAAAAUAUAUUUGGAAAAAAUGUGAUUAAUAAAAGUUCUUUGUAACAUGAAAACGGUUGCGAAUUAAGUUAAUUUUAUCUCGGGAAAAUAAAUAAAUUUGCGAAUAGUUUUUGGUAAGUUUUUGCGGCUCAUUGCGUCCAUACAACCAGACAAUCGUGCAUACUAUUUAUCUUGCGUAGCGUUGUUGUCAGUGAACAUUAGCGAGUGUUUGUAAUCUAAGUAUCUGCCGCUUUAUAUACGUAACUGAGAAAUUCGAUAAAUGAUUUAAACUCCGUGCACGCGGUUAAACUCGGUAACCCAAAGCAUGUUUGUAUGUUCCGUCAUAAA